UUUUUCAACAAAUAAUGAAAUAAUUCAUUGAUGUUCAAGGAAAGCUAUGAAAAAUAUCAUCAUCUAGGCCAUGGUUAAUCUUCAGGUUAGCAGCAACAUAUAGCAGCAGCUUAAGAGAAGAAUGUGAACAAAUGCAGGGCACAUACCAACAUGUGUUGUAUUUUUCUGAAUGUUAAACACAAGCAGUAGAUUCAACAUGACUAACUGUUUGAUGCCAAAGUUAGUUGGAACUCAACUCACUUUAUGUACUCUAACACAGAUAACUGGUGCUGUUGCCUUACAGCCACAGGCAGGAAAAUCAUUCUUUUCUUCAGAAAAUUAGAAAGCUGCUGGAGUAAUCUGGUGUUCAUGGCUUGGCUUCAUGCUCAUUUGAAUCAUUUCGUGCCAGCUAGUGAAAGCCAAAAGGUAACAAGCAAUCCAGCCGUUGCGUUCAGUAAUUUGGAACAGGAAUCUAAUGGCUGUCAAUAGGUGGCUGUGAAUAAGUGGCUGAAAUGAUGUCCACCAGAUAGCGCGAGUGUCUUCAGGGACGAUAAGCGGCCAUUUUGUUCCAAGACGCAGCAGAAAUGGGUUGUUGGUUGUGAUGUUUCUCACGAUGAAACUUAAAAGGUGAUUUAGGAUGUAGAAACCAAUUUGCCAAAUCAUUCAAGACUUGGAAGUGUGUACAUUUCCGAAAUGGCGUGCCUCGUGUGUUUCGCUGCGUGUUCUUAGGCGUACUUCUCAUCCCAUGCAACAGCAAAAAGUAUAACAAAUACUUCUUUAAUGCUGGUGGUUACCUUGUUGCAGCCAAAUGGUGUAAGGGGUGACGAAGACAGAUUGAACUGUUGUAUGCAGCAUGCGGUUGCAGUGUAAUCCAGAAGUUGCUGUGCUGUUGUAGCUGAGCUGUUACAUCUGGGUUCCUGACUU